rnacentral:rRNA from 1 species
UACGUAGGGUGCAAGCGUUAAUCGGAAUUACUGGGCGUAAAGCGCAUGUAGGCGGCAGCGCAAGUCGGGCGUGAAAUCCCACGGCUCAACCCGGGAAGUGCACUCGAUACUGCAGAGCUUGAGUGUGGGAGAGGUUGGUGGAAUUCUCGGUGUAGAGGUGAAAUUCGUAGAUAUCGAGAGGAACACCGGCGGCGAAGGCGGCCAACUGGACCACUACUGACGCUGAGACACGAAAGCGUGGGGAGCAAACAGG